rnacentral:rRNA from 1 species
GGCUCUUUGAAAUUAAAUAAUAAAGAGUCGGACCUGCCCAGUGAAAUUUUUUAACGGCCGCGGUACUCUGACCGUGCAAAGGUAGCAUAAUCAUUUGCCUUAUAAUUGAAGGCUUGUAUGAAUGGUUUGACAAGAAUAUAGCUGUCUCUGUAUGGUUUAUUAGAAUUUUAUUUUGAAGUGAGGAAGCUUGAAUAAAAUUAAUAGACAAGAAGACCCUAUCGAGCUUGAAGUAAUAGCUAUAAAGGUUAAUUAAUAAUUUUAAAAGGUUGUUUAAGCUAAAUUUUGGUUGGGGCGACUUAGGAACAUAUAAAGCUUCCUAGAUUAAUAAAUAAGCAAAUAUGAUCCAAGAUAUAUUGAUUAAAGAAAUUAGUUACCGUAGGGAUAACAGCAUUAUCUUCUUUAAGAGUUCUAAUCGAAAAGAGGGUUUGUGACCUCGAUGUUGGACCAGAAUGUCCUAAAGAUGUAGCAGUCUUUAAGGGUUGGUCUGUUCGACCAUUAAAAUUCUACG